AGAUUCUGACUGAGAGUCACAGCCUCAGAGGCAACGUAAACAAGCGCUAUAUUUCUCUAUAAACGAUGGUGUCUGUACUGCCUUACCACUUCGAGCUCGAUCCAGAGAGUUCAGAAGGCCGUUACGAUAUAAACGAUCUCCGUCAAUGAAUGCGAUUGGAUUUAACUUUUUUAGGUGUCCUUAGCUCUGCCAGAAUGCUAAACGAAGACGAAAAUGUGUUGCAAAGACAUCCAAAAGGUUUUAAGGAGAUUGCAACAGGUUCCAGGGCCUCUUACCUGCGUGAUUCAUCAUCCAGGUUUUGCACAAAUUGUCUAAAUCCCUACACACAGAACAUUUAUUGUACCGACUAUAAGCCUUUGAGGUGCAGGACUAGAAUACGCUUGGAGCUUCCUGAUCGGAAUGUUGGCUUCCGACGACCCCUGCACUGAAGAUGGCAUGCAAUCACGUCCUCCUUUGAAGGUUUCUCAAACUGUGAUGCCAGGUCCAUUGGAAUCGGGGUUUCCU